rnacentral:lncRNA from 1 species
CUUUCCUGAAGACAGAUGAAUAGCCUUUCAAAGGAUGUCCCUGAAGAGACGGACAACUAGAAGUGGGAAAGAGGAAACGGUAGAAGUGUAGCGGAGCCCACGUGGACCUUCACAUUGAGGAAGAUAUUAGAUGGCCCGUGUGGACACCAGAGUCUCAGGGUCCCCUGGUCUCUUAUUUAGACAUCUGGUCAACAUCCAUUUAAAGGAGAAGGUGCAGGAGGGUGUGGGAGCGUGUACCAG